UCCACCCCUCAGUGUGGCGUUAACGCAAUAAACACUCCGCCUGGGGAGUACGACCGCAAGGUUGAAACUCAAAGAAUUGACGGGGACCCGCACAAGCGGUGGAGCAUGUGGUUUAAUUCGAAGCAACGCGAAGACCUUACCAGGUCUUGACAUCUCUUGCAUAGCCUAGAGAUAGGUGAAACCCUUCGGGGCAAAAGACAGGUGGUGCAUGGUUGUCGUCAGCUCGUGUCGUGAGAUGUUGGGUUAAGUCCCGUACGAGCGCAACCCUUAUCAUUAGUUGCCAGCAUUCAGUUGGGGACUCUAAUGAGACUGCCGUGACAAACCGGAGGAAGGUGGGGAUGACGUCAAAUCAUCAUGCCCCUUAUGACCUGGGCACACACGUGCUACAAUGGAUGGUACAGCGAGCAGCGACCCCGCGAGGGCAAGCGAAUCUCCAAAGCCAUUCUCAGUUCGGAUCGUUCUCUGCAACUCGAGAGCGUGAAGCCGGAAUCGCUGUAAUCGUGGAUCAGCACGCCACGGUGAAUACGUUCCCGGGUCUUGCACUCACCGCCCGU
rnacentral:rRNA from 1 species